GUGAACCUACUUAAAAUAUCACGGAGACGGCGAUCUCAUUGUGCAUUGUUGGUACAGCAAUCUGCGUAUAGUAUUACGCCGUAUUACGUAUAAUCGUGUUGCCAUGGAUACCAUUUUAUACCAUUAAUAAAUAUGUAUUUAUGUUAUUCAAACGUUGUUCACCCAUUUUAACUAAUAUUAAAUACUUCUUAACACUAACCGAACUAUAUUCUAAAAUUAACAUGCAUUUCCGAAAAAUUGUGGCGCUGGUUUUACGCGAAUUCGUUGCUCGUACAGUUGGAACCAACCCACGGUCGGUAUCUAAGGAGGAGUACGAAAGUUUUUUGAAAACCAUCAAUUGCCGAUCUCAUGUGGUUAUAAAAAUGUUUAAUAUUUUAUUUGGCCACCCUCCGAAGAGCAAAGCAGUUAGAGAGUUCGUGGAAUGCUGGAUUAGGAACCAUCGGAUAUUAGUCGGGCCAAUAUUCAAGAACAGCUAUCCAGUCGUAAAUAAACGUUUCAUGUUUACUGAUAUCGAUUUCCAUCCGUACGACAUAAGCUGGUCGGACUGGGAAGAUCUACAAAACGAUGAUGUAAAUGAUGUGAUGAACCCACACGAGGACACAAUCAGUGACAUACGAAAAGUGCUGAUGAGUACGCAAGUCCCACGUACCCAAGUUCUAAAGGGUACGAAUGAUACUUGAGUAUCAUUAUCUACGUCCUGUUCAUUGCAUCCAGCCACGUUUUGCAUUGCACAUCGGUUAUAAUCUAUUGAGGGUCCGGCCACAGCUUGCACACCUGCAUUUUCCUGUUCGUGGCAUUUCCGCCGUACUCGUUUAAAUGGGGACAAAGGGCGGAAGUCUUGAACUGCAGGGCGUUGACGUAUAGUGACUUCGUACCCUUUAGAACUUGGGUACGUGGGACUUGCGUACUCAUCAGCACUUUUCAUCUUCCCAGUCCGACCCGAAGCCCUGAAGACAUUGAUUCCGAAGAAAACAUUGCAAUUAUAAAUAUUCGAAAGCGUAAUGAACCGGAGGAAGACCUUCCUAGUGGCAAAUGCAUCGACGAUGAAGAGUUUACACCAGCUGUUACGUGUUCCAAAAAUACACAACAAAACCGUCCGGUUAUUGACUGCCGGCGAUAUAAUUUCCCACACAUGCGAGAAAGAGGUAAAUGCCAGAGUAAUUUAUGUGAAAGCAAUUAUGGCGACGAAGGGGCUUGCACGAAUGUUAAUGCUGAAAAUCAUGGACGACACGAUGCAGUUUAUGCAGUGGGCAUGCCAGUCAAUGUGUAUGUAUCUGGAAACCCGUAUUUAGCGGCAGUCAUAACAAAAAUAACCGGCGAUAAAGUUUAUGUUAAAUAUCCCGGAUGAUUAUACGAUCAAUACGAAUAUUACAUUCCAAAUAAAGAUAUUUCCUUUUAAAAGUCAGUUUACAAAUGGAAUAUUUUGUCCGAUAAGACCAAUAGCCAAAAACAAUCCAAGGAGACAAACUCUCUGAAAUAAAAUCAUGUUAUACGAAGACCGUAUGCAACGCUAUUUAACACGUUAAUCAAAACAAGGCAGUUUUAAAUUACAAAUUGUUUAAACAGCAGCAUUUUGUAAUGAUAAUAUUAUACUAUGAUUAUGGAUAUUUUACAUUCCAGGGACGUAUUUUUUUUAGCUAUAGGAACGUCGGUUAUUUUUUCAAAUUAU